AACGAACGCUGGCGGCAUGCCUAACACAUGCAAGUCGAACGAGACCUUCGGGUCUAGUGGCGCACGGGUGCGUAACGCGUGGUAAGCUGCCCGUAGGUUCGGAAUAACUCCCCGAAAGGGGUGCCAAGACCGGUUAAUGUCUUCGGGCCAACGAUUUCUCGCCAUUGGAUGGGCCCGCGUUGGAUUGGCUAGUUGGUAGGGUAAAAGCAUAGCAAGGCGACGAUCCAUAGCUGGUGUGAUAGGAUGACCAGCCACACUGGGGAUGCGACACGGCCCAGUCUCCUACGGAAGGGAGCAGUAGGGAAUAUUGGACAAUGGGCGAAAGCCUGAUCCAGCAAUGCCGCGUGAGUGAUGAAGGCCUUAGUAUUGUAAAGCUCUUUUACACGAGAUGAUAAUGACAGUACCGGGAGAAUAAGCUCCGGCUAACUCCGUG
rnacentral:rRNA from 1 species